CAAUGGCAGAUUUAGCAAUCGGAACAAUUCCAGACUUCGAAUCGGUUACAGCUGCUAUUGUUACCAACUCCGGGUUCAAAUUAUAUCGGAUUUGAAAUUAGAGGCAUUGGAGGGUUCGUAUCGGAUUCAAAUGCCAUUGACGCCUCAGGAGUUGGAUUCACCGAGUUGAGUGAAGAGCUUUUCAUGCCGGAAAAUGAAAGAGACGACCGAACUGGCUCGUUCCGAUCGCCCAGAAUCUUCUUCUUCGGAGAGACGGCAAUCUUGGAGGCAGCGGAAAUUGUAGACGACAUGAAAUUCUUCAUCGAUUUUCCGACCGUCGGCGAACGGACUCGGAAUUCCUUUGUGGAGGAUAAUCUGCAACUUUUAUUCAAAGAAACAAAUAAGAACAAAGAUCGCAGAAACGUUGGAGAUGGAAAUCAUCAUGUUUAGAAGAACAAAGAAGGAAGGGAUUAUAUCGAUGGAAGAAUCGAAAUGGCUAUGCUAGUGAGCACCAGAGAUUCUUUUAUUCUGUAACCCUAACCCUAAUAAAUUUUCUCAUCCAAUUUCUCGGCAACCAAACAAAUUUCCAGUUCUAAAGGAAGAAACCAAGCAAGGAGAGAGCAAAAUCAGAGCAAAACAUAAAGGAAAAGCAGAUAUUCUAAGCCACUUUCCCAGCAACCAAACAGAAUUAAACCACUCUAAGAUCACAGGAAAGAAACUAAGCAUGAAGAAAACUCAAACAAACCGG